UAGGGACCCCAUAAAAGGCUAGGAGCUGC
rnacentral:piRNA from 1 species